UACACACCGCCCGUCAAGUCAUGGGAGCUGGGAGCACCCGAAGUCCGUUUAGCGAACCGCAAGGGAGCGGCGGCCGACGGUGAGCUCGGUGACUGGGACU
rnacentral:rRNA from 1 species